UAUAUACUCCCUCCGUUCCAAAUUAGUUGACUUGGAUUUAUCUAGAUACGGAUGUAUCUAACACUAAAACAUGUCUAGAUAUAUCCGUAUCUAGACAAAUCUGAGUCAACUAAUUUGGAACGGAGGGAGUACAUA
rfam:Triticum aestivum genome assembly, contig: Triticum_aestivum_CS42_TGACv1_scaffold_321043_4BL